CUGGCUCAGGAUGAACGCUAGCUACAGGCUUAACACAUGCAAGUCGAGGGGCAGCAUGGGGUAGCAAUACUCAGAUGGCGACCGGCGCACGGGUGAGUAACACGUAUCCAACCUGCCGCUAACUCGGGGAUAGCCUUUCGAAAGAAAGAUUAAUACCCGAUGGUAUAAAGAGUUCGCAUGUUCUCUUUAUUAAAGAAUUUCGGUAAGCGAUGGGGAUGCGUUCCAUUAGAUUGUUGGCGGGGUAACGGCCCACCAAGUCUACGAUGGAUAGGGGUUCUGAGAGGAAGGUCCCCCACAUUGGAACUGAGACACGGUCCAAACUCCUACGGGAGGCAGCAGUGAGGAAUAUUGGUCAAUGGACGAGAGUCUGAACCAGCCAAGUAAGCGCGAAGGAUGACUGCCCUAUGGGUUGUAAACUUCUUUUAUAAGGGAAUAAAGUGAGGGACGUGUCCCUUUUUGUAUGUACCUUAUGAAUAAGGAUCGGCUAACUCCGUGCCAGCCGCCGC
rnacentral:rRNA from 1 species